CACGUAGGGUGCGAGCGUUGUCCGGAAUUAUUGGGCGUAAAGAGCUCGUAGGCGGUGUGUCGCGUCGGCCGUGAAAACCUGCAGCUUAACUGUGGGCGUGCGGUCGAUACGGGCAUCGCUGGAGUUCGGCAGGGGAGACUGGAAUUCCUGGUGUAGCGGUGAAAUGCGCAGAUAUCAGGAGGAACACCGGUGGCGAAGGCGGGUCUCUGGGCCGAUACUGACGCUGAGGAGCGAAAGCGUGGGGAGCGAACAGG
rnacentral:rRNA from 1 species